rnacentral:rRNA from 1 species
GACGAACGCUGGCGGCGUGCUUAACACAUGUCAGUCGAACGGUGAAGCGCCUUCCUUUUUGGUGGGUGUGGAUGAGUGGCGAACGGGUGAGUAACACGUGAGUAACCUGCCCCCUUCUUCUGGAUAACCGCAUGAAAGUGUGGCUAAUACGGGAUAUUCUGGGUCUGUCGCAUGAUGGGUCUGGGAAAGAUAUUGUUUCGGUGGGGGAUGGGCUCGCGGCCUAUCAGCUUGUUGGUGGGGUGAUGGCCUACCAAGGCGGUGACGGGUAGCCGGCCUGAGAGGGUGGACGGUCACACUGGGACUGAGACACGGCCCAGACUCCUACGGGAGGCAGCAGUGGGGAAUAUUGCACAAUGGGCGCAAGCCUGAUGCAGCGACGCCGCGUGAGGGAUGGAGGCCUUCGGGUUGUGAACCUCUUUCGCCAGUGAAGCAGGCCUGCCUCGUUUGUGGGUGGGUUGACGGUAGCUGGAUAAGAAGCGCCGGCUAACUACGUG